rnacentral:rRNA from 1 species
CCUACGGGAGGCAGCAGUGGGGAAUAUUGGGCAAUGGGCGCAAGUCUGACCCAGCAAUGCCGCGUGAAGGAAGAAGGUCUUCGGGUUGUAAACUUCUUUACUGAGGGACGAAUAAAGUGACGGUACCUCAGGAAUAAGCCACGGCUAACUACGUGCCAGCAGCCGCGGUAAUACGUAGGGAGCAAGCGUUUUUCGGAAUGACUGGGCGUAAAGGGUGCGUAGGCGGGUAAACAAGUUAGAAGUGAAAUACCCAGGGCUUAACCCGGGUGCUGCUUCUAAAACUGUAAGUCUUGAGUGCAGGAGAGGCUAGCGGAAUUCCGUGUGUAGCGGUGGAAUGCGUAGAUAUAAGGAGGAACACCAGAGGCGAAGGCGGAUAACUGGACUGUAACUGACGCUGAGGCACGAAAGUGUGGGGAGCAAACAGGAUUAGAUACCCGAGUAGUC